GGUCCUUUUGCUCCGUGAAACUUCUGUCACAAAAUUUGCACGGCCUUUUGUUCAUAGCUCCAGCUAUUUCGGCUGCGUGAAGGCGCAUAUGACCGCAAAGAUUCCCCUUCCAGUUUGUUUCGAACUCGCAAUGGUGGCACUUGAAUUGCUCUGCUGCAGACGAUGCACUUGAAAGGUCCGGAAGAACGCACUCGCCUCGCAGUUCUGAGCGUUGACUUUCCGUAUCCAUUCCGGAUUCCUCCAAAUCCAGCAGGGUAAAAUAACCUGGAAGUAAAAGGAUGAUCAAGACAGAGAUAACAACUCGGGAAAAACAUUCAACUGUUUCCAUGCGUGUGGCCCUUGAGAUGCGAAUUCAUCGAUCCCUUCUGGGUGAACCUCUUCUGGCAAAAUUUACACUCAUAAGGUCGCUCUCCGGUGUGUGUCCUGAGGUGUACAAUGAGAUAUUUCCUGACGCUGAACUCCUUGCCACAGACUUCGCAAAUGUGUGGUUUUUCUCCCGAGUGUAUACGCAUGUGUACUUGAAGCGAUUCCCUUCCACAUAACAACGUGUUGUAGAUGGAGUCUCUCGCAUUGGUAUAGUUGGAUUAAGGCGAAUGAAACCAGAUCUCUUUCACCGAUACAUUGAGGCUUUUUUGUCAACUGUCAUCAAGCAGAUUACGAUAAGCGUCUGCCCUUUGUAGCCACCAUUUGUCGUUAAAUCUUUGAUGAAUAACAGUCACGUCCUUGUGGAUCUAUUAUUAGCCUAGUU